AACGAACGCUGGCGGCAUGCCUAACACAUGCAAGUCGAACGAGACCUUCGGGUCUAUUGGCGCACGUGUGCGUAACGCGUGGGAACCUGCCCUUAGGUUCGGAAUAACUCCCCGAAAGGGGUGCUAAUACCGGAUAAUGUCUUCGCACCAAAGAUUUAUCGCCUUUGGAUGGGCCCGCGUUGGAUUAGCUAGUUGGUAGGGUAAAAGCCUACCAAGGCGACGAUCCAUAGCUGGUCUGAGAGGAUGAUCAGCCACAAUGGGACUGAGACACGGCCCAGACUGCUACGGGAGGCAGCAGUGGGGAAUAUUGGAGAAUGGGCGAAAGACUGAUCCAGCAAUGCGGGGGGAGUGAUGAAGGCCUUAGGGUUGUAAAGCUCUUUUACCCGGGAUGAUAAUGACAGUAACGGGAGAAUAAGCUCCGGCUAACUACGUG
rnacentral:rRNA from 1 species